UACGAAGGGGGCUAGCGUUGUUCGGAAUCACUGGGCGUAAAGCGCACGUAGGCGGGUUCUUAAGUCAGGGGUGAAAUCCCGAGGCUCAACCUCGGAACCGCCUUUGAUACUGGGAAUCUUGAGUUCGGGAGAGGUGAGUGGAAUUGCGAGUGUAGAGGUGAAAUUCGUAGAUAUUCGCAAGAACACCAGUGGCGAAGGCGGCUCACUGGCCCGAUACUGACGCUGAGGUGCGAAAGCGUGGGGAGCAAACAGG
rnacentral:rRNA from 1 species